GACGAACGCUGGCGGCGUGCUUAACACAUGCAAGUCGAACGGAAAGGCCCUGCCUUUGUGGGGUGCUCGAGUGGCGAACGGGUGAGUAACACGUGAGUAACCUGCCCUUGACUUUGGGAUAACUUCAGGAAACUGGGGCUAAUACCGGAUAGGAGCUCCUGCUGCAUGGUGGGGGUUGGAAAGUUUCGGCGGUUGGGGAUGGACUCGCGGCUUAUCAGCUUGUUGGUGGGGUAGUGGCUUACCAAGGCUUUGAGGGGUAGUCGGCCUGAGAGGGUGACCGUCCACGUGGGUACUAGGAUACGGCCCAGACUCCUACGGGAGGCAGCAGUGGGGAAGAUUGCACAAUGGGCGGAAGCCUGAGGCGGCAACGCCGCGGGCGGGAUGACGGCCUUCGGGUUGUAAACCGCUUUCGCCUGUGACGAAGCGUGAGUGACGGUAAUGGGUAAAGAAGCACCGGCUAACUACGUGCCAGCCGCCGCGGUAA
rnacentral:rRNA from 1 species